CAGCCGCCGCGGGAAUACGAAGGGGGCUAGCGUUGUUCGGAAUUACUGGGCGUAAAGCGCACGUAGGCGGAUCGAUCAGUCAGGGGUGAAAUCCCAGGGCUCAACCCUGGAACUGCCUUUGAUACUGUCGAUCUGGAGUAUGGAAGAGGUGAGUGGAAUUCCGAGUGUAGAGGUGAAAUUCGUAGAUAUUCGGAGGAACACCAGUGGCGAAGGCGGCUCACUGGUCCAUUACUGACGCUGAGGUGCGAAAGCGUGGGGAGCAAACAGGAUUAGAUACCCCUGUAGUCCCUGUCUCUUAUAC
rnacentral:rRNA from 1 species